UUGAAAUGGUUGUUGUUGCUGUUGUUGUUGUGCAGGUUGAUUAUCAGCAGUAAUCGUUACUGCAGCAGUAUGCUGGUAGUAAUGAUUUCUACCGUGUCCUUUCUGGGCAUACACAACACUCGAAUCACCCUCUUUCUUGCGCUGACCAUUACCAAAGGGCUUCUUUACUCCAGACGACGGAGCAUUUCCCUGUAUUUUCCCCAUUCUCAGCCAACUUUCA
rnacentral:lncRNA from 1 species